CCUACGGGAGGCAGCAGUGUGGAAUAUUGGUCAAUGGGCGCGAGCCUGAACCAGCCAAGUCGCGUGAGGGAUGAAGGUUCUAUGGAUCGUAAACCUCGUUUAUAAGGGAAUAAAGGGUGGGACGUGUCCUAUUUUGUAUGUACCUUAUGAAUAAGGAUCGGCUAACUCCGUGCCAGCAGCCGCGGUAAUACGGAGGAUCCGAGCGUUAUCCGGAUUUAUUGGGUUUAACGGGUGCGGAGGCGGCCUUUUAAUUCAGCGUUGAAGGUCUGUGGCGCAACCAUAGAAUUGCCGUUGAAACUGGGGGGCUUGAGUAUGUUUGAGGCAGGCGGAAUGCGUGGUGUAGCGGGGAAAUGCUUAGAUAUCACGCAGAACCCCGAUUGCGAAGGCAGCCUGCCAAGCCAUGACUGACGCUGAUGCACGAAAGCGUGGGGAUCAAACAGGAUUAGAUACCCGGGUAGUC
rnacentral:rRNA from 1 species